rnacentral:rRNA from 1 species
GACGAACGCUGGCGGCGUGCUUAACACAUGCAAGUCGAACGGUGAGGCCCUUCGGGGUACACGAGUGGCGAACGGGUGAGUAACACGUGGGUGAUCUGCCCUGCACUUCGGGAUAAGCCUGGGAAACUGGGUCUAAUACCGGAUAGGACCACUGCCUGCAUGGGGGGUGGUGGAAAGCUGUUGCGGUGUGGGAUGGGCCCGCGGCCUAUCAGCUUGUUGGUGGGGUGAUGGCCUACCAAGGCGACGACGGGUAGCCGGCCUGAGCGGGUGACCGGCCACACUGGGACUGAGAUACGGCCCAGACUCCUACGGGAGGCAGCAGUGGGGAAUAUUGCACAAUGGGCGCAAGCCUGAUGCAGCGACGCCGCGUGAGGGAUGACGGCCUUCGGGUUGUAAACCUCUUUCAGCACCGGCGAAGCGCAAGUGACGGUAGGUGCAGAAGAAGGACCGGCCAACUACGUGCCAGCCGCCGCAGUAA